rnacentral:rRNA from 1 species
UACGGAGGGUGCAAACGUUGCUCGGAAUUAUUGGGCGUAAAGCGCACGUAGGCGGUUCGUUAUGUCGGGUGUGAAAUCCCUCGGCUUAACCGAGGAAGUGCAUUCGAAACUGGCGAGCUAGAGUACUGAAGAGGGUCGCGGAAUUCCCGGUGUAGAGGUGAAAUUCGUAGAUAUCGGGAGGAACACCAGUGGCGAAGGCGGCGACCUGGACAGAUAUUGACGCUGAGGUGCGAAAGCGAUGGG